GACGAACGCUGGCGGCGUGCUUAACACAUGCAAGUCGAACGCUGAAGCUCAGCUUUUGUUGGGUGGGUGAGUGGCACACGGGUGAGUAACACGUGAGUAACCUGACUCCUUCUUUGGGAUAACGCCCGGAAACGGGUGCUAAUACUGGAUAUUCACUGGUCUUCGCAUGGGGGUUGGUGGAAAGGGUUUUUCUGGUGGGGGAUGGGCUCGCGGCCUAUCGGCUUGUUGGUGGGUUGUUGGCCUACCAAGGCUUUGACGGGUAGCCGGACUGAGAGUAGGACGGGCGAGAGGGUGAUCGGGAUACGUCCGAGAGUGAUACGGGAGGGAGCAGUGGGGAAGAUAGCAGAAGGGGAGCAAGCGUGGUGGAGCGACGCCGGGUGAGGGAUGGAGGCGUGCGGGUUGUGAACCUCUUUCGCGCAUGGUUAAGCCGCAACAAUGGUUGUGGUGAGGGUAGUGGGUAAAGAAGCGCCGGCUAACUACGUG
rnacentral:rRNA from 1 species